AAGUCGUAACAAGGUUUCCGUAGGUGAACCUGCGGAAGGAUCAUUAAAGAAUACCUGGACUCCGGUCCUCGUCGAGAAAGGUCGUCCCGGGUGGCCUCCAGGUCCCCGGGGGCUUCCCCCCUCUUACCCUCUGUUUACCUCUACCUUCUGUUGCUUUGGCACAGCCUCCGUGCCCGGGGUUGGUUCCGGCUUGGGCUCCUGGCCGGACGGACCCCAACUCGUGGAUAGUCUAUGUUUGUCUGAGUACGAUAUAAUCGUUUACAA
rnacentral:misc_RNA from 1 species